GACGAACGCUGGCGGCAGGCUUAACACAUGCAAGUCGAGCGCCCCGCAAGGGGAGCGGCAGACGGGUGAGUAACGCGUGGGAAUCUACCCAUCUCUACGGAAUAACGCAUGGAAACGUGUGCUAAUACCGUAUACGUCCUUCGGGAGAAAGAUUUAUCGGAGAUGGAUGAGCCCGCGUUGGAUUAGCUAGUUGGUGGGGUAAAGGCCUACCAAGGCGACGAUCCAUAGCUGGUCUGAGAGGAUGAUCAGCCACACUGGGACUGAGACACGGCCCAGACUCCUACGGGAGGCAGCAGUGGGGAAUAUUGGACAAUGGGCGCAAGCCUGAUCCAGCCAUGCCGCGUGAGUGAUGAAGGCCCUAGGGUUGUAAAGCUCUUUCACCGGUGAAGAUAAUGACGGUAACCGGAGAAGAAGCCCCGGCUAACUUCGUGCCAGCAGCCGCUGUAAUAC
rnacentral:rRNA from 1 species